rnacentral:rRNA from 1 species
AUCGAACGCUGGCGGCAGGCUUAACACAUGCAAGUCGAGCGGGGUGAUGGUGCUUGCACUAUCACUUAGCGGCGGACGGGUGAGUAAUGAUUAGGAAUCUGCCUAUUAGUGGGGGACAACAUCUCGAAAGGGAUGCUAAUACCGCAUACGUCCUACGGGAGAAAGCAGGGGAUCACUUGUGACCUUGCGCUAAUAGAUGAGCCUAAGUCGGAUUAGCUAGUUGGUGGGGUAAAGGCCUACCAAGGCGACGAUCUGUAGCGGGUCUGAGAGGAUGAUCCGCCACACUGGGACUGAGACACGGCCCAGACUCCUACGGGAGGCAGCAGCGGGGAAUAUUGGACAAUGGGGGGAACCCUGAUCCAGCCAUGCCGCGUGUGUGAAGAAGGCCUUAUGGUUGUAAAGCACUUUAAGCGAGGAGGAGGCUCUUUUGGUUAAUACCCAAGAUGAGUGGACGUUACUCGCAGAAUAAGCACCGGCUAACUCUGUGCCAGCCGCCGCUGUAA